rnacentral:rRNA from 1 species
UUCUUCGGAUGAAGAGGUUUGUGACUGAGUGGCGGACGGGUGAGUAACGCGUGGGUAACCUGCCUCAUACAGGGGGAUAACAGUUAGAAAUGACUGCUAAUACCGCAUAAGACCACGGAGCCGCAUGGCUCGGUGGGAAAAACUCCGGUGGUAUGAGAUGGACCCGCGUCUGAUUAGGUAGUUGGUGGGGUAACGGCCUACCAAGCCGACGAUCAGUAGCCGACCUGAGAGGGUGACCGGCCACAUUGGGACUGAGACACGGCCCAAACUCCUACGGGAGGCAGCAGUGGGGAAUAUUGCACAAUGGGGGAAACCCUGAUGCAGCGACGCCGCGUGAGCGAUGAAGUAUUUCGGUAUGUAAAGCUCUAUCAGCAGGGAAGAAAAUGACGGUACCUGACUAAGAAGCCCCGGCUAACUACGUGCCAGCAGCCGCGGUAAUACGUAGGGGGCAAGCGUUAUCCGGAUUUACUGGGUGUAAAGGGAGCGUAGACGGCAUGGCAAGCCAGAUGUGAAAGCCCGGGGCUCAACCCCGGGACUGCAUUUGGAACUGUCAGGCUAGAGUGUCGGAGAGGAAAGCGGAAUUCCUAGUGUAGCGGUGAAUGCGUAGAUAUUAGGAGGAACACCAGUGGCGAAGGCGGCUUUCUGGACGAUGACUGACGUUGAGGCUC